rnacentral:lncRNA from 1 species
GACUGCAGUUUUGUGAAUGUUUAAUUUGACUCCAUUUCUAAUGUUCUUUUUUCCCCUUUUUAUCUGAGGAUCGCCUCCUAAUUACCAAACAAAAUUCAGAAAAAGAGGAACUUUUGAAUUUUUGCCUUGAUUUCUGCAUUAAUGCUAUUAUGAGAUUUAAAAUACUAUGUCACUCAUGAAACAUCAUUGAAAAAUUAUAAGCCAGUGAUAAACAACAUUAAUUGCAAAGCAAACUAAUUAACUGGUUUGAUUAAAUUGAACAUAAUAAUGCCUCAAAAAAAAAUAGAAUUAAAUUAUAAAAUGGUUCC